rnacentral:miRNA from 1 species
UGUGUGUGUGUGUGUGUGUGUGUGUGUGUGUGUGUGUGUGUGUGUGUGCGCGCCAGUCUCUCAAACACACACUGUCCUUCACUCA